GGUUCAUGCAAGGUUAUGACAACUACCUGACAUUUCUCACUGUAAAGAUGUUGAUUCAGAUAACCACCCAGAGUACGUAGCUGAGAAGCCGACUCUAUACAGAGGUGACCUUUGAGAUGAGGAGUUAGCUACGCACGAGGACGGUUACAUAUGUGACAACUAUGCAUUCGGAGCAUGCUAAAGAUGAGAGUAUCAUAUUCCUUUUGACCCCUUUGUUUUACAUAUCAGAUGUAGCCCUACUGGCAUAACCAUAAUUAUGACUUCCGCUAUGAAAACACUUUUGGUAAAUAUGAUAAAUAUCAUUAGACAUCACUAGUUGUGUGUA